AUUGAACGCUGGCGGCAUGCCUUACACAUGCAAGUCGAACGGUAACGGGCCUUCGGGUGCCGACGAGUGGCGAACGGGUGAGUAAUACAUCGGAACGUGCCCGAUCGUGGGGGAUAACGAGGCGAAAGCUUUGCUAAUACCGCAUACGAUCUACGGAUGAAAGCAGGGGACCGCAAGGCCUUGCGCGGACGGAGCGGCCGAUGUCAGAUUAGGUAGUUGGUGGGAUAAAAGCUUACCAAGCCGACGAUCUGUAGCUGGUCUGAGAGGAUGAUCAGCCACACUGGGACUGAGACACGGCCCAGACUCCUACGGGAGGCAGCAGUGGGGAAUUUUGGACAAUGGGCGCAAGCCUGAUCCAGCCAUGCCGCGUGCAGGAUGAAGGCCUUCGGGUUGUAAACUGCUUUUGUACGGAACGAAAAGCCUUCUUUUAAUACAGGAGGGUCAUGACGGUACCGUAAGAAUAAGCACCGGCUAACUACGUG
rnacentral:rRNA from 1 species